GAUGAACGCUGGCGGCGUGCCUAAUACAUGCAAGUCGAGCGAACGGACGAGAAGCUUGCUUCUCUGAUGUUAGCGGCGGACGGGUGAGUAACACGUGGAUAACCUACCUAUAAGACUGGGAUAACUUCGGGAAACCGGAGCUAAUACCGGAUAAUAUUUUGAACCGCAUGGUUCAAAAGUGAAAGACGGUCUUGCUGUCACUUAUAGAUGGAUCCGCGCUGCAUUAGCUAGUUGGUAAGGUAACGGCUUACCAAGGCAACGAUGCAUAGCCGACCUGAGAGGGUGAUCGGCCACACUGGAACUGAGACACGGUCCAGACUCCUACGGGAGGCAGCAGUAGGGAAUCUUCCGCAAUGGGCGAAAGCCUGACGGAGCAACGCCGCGUGAGUGAUGAAGGUCUUCGGAUCGUAAAACUCUGUUAUUAGGGAAGAACAUAUGUGUAAGUAACUGUGCACAUCUUGACGGUACCUAAUCAGAAAGCCACGGCUAACUACGUGCCAGCAGCCGCGGUAAUACGUAGGUGGCAAGCGUUAUCCGGAAUUAUUGGGCGUAAAGCGCGCGUAGGCGGUUUUUUAAGUCUGAUGUGAAAGCCCACGGCUCAACCGUGGAGGGUCAUUGGAAACUGGAAAACUUGAGUGCAGAAGAGGAAAGUGGAAUUCCAUGUGUAGCGGUGAAAUGCGCAGAGAUAUGGAGGAACACCAGUGGCGAAGGCGACUUUCUGGUCUGUAACUGACGCUGAUGUGCGAAAGCGUGGGGAUCAAACAGGAUUAGAUACCCUGGUAGUCCACGCCGUAAACGAUGAGUGCUAAGUGUUAGGGGGUUUCCGCCCCUUAGUGCUGCAGCUAACGCAUUAAGCACUCCGCCUGGGGAGUACGACCGCAAGGUUGAAACUCAAAGGAAUUGGCGGGGACCCGCACAAGCGGUGGAGCAUGUGGUUUAAUUCGAAGCAACGCGAAGAACCUUACCAAAUCUUGACAUCCUUUGACAACUCUAGAGAUAGAGCCUUCCCCUUCGGGGGACAAAGUGACAGGUGGUGCAUGGUUGUCGUCAGCUCGUGUCGUGAGAUGUUGGGUUAAGUCCUGCAACGAGCGCAACCCUUAAGCUUAGUUGCCAUCAUUAAGUUGGGCACUCUAAGUUGACUGCCGGUGACAAACCGGAGGAAGGUGGGGAUGACGUCAAAUCAUCAUGCCCCUUAUGAUUUGGGCUACACACGUGCUACAAUGGACAAUACAAAGGGCAGCGAAACCGCGAGGUCAAGCAAAUCCCAUAAAGUUGUUCUCAGUUCGGAUUGUAGUCUGCAACUCGACUACAUGAAGCUGGAAUCGCUAGUAAUCGUAGAUCAGCAUGCUACGGUGAAUACGUUCCCGGGUCU
rnacentral:rRNA from 1 species